AGGAGGAUUGAGAAAGUUAAGCAGCUGUUUUUGUACUGCAUUAACUGGUUGUAACCUCCUAGAAAAACCACAAGUGCUGAAGUGCUUUUGAUUUUCUGUAUGAAAGUAGUCAUUUGCAAUACUUG